GUGCCGAGAGCAGUGGUCAUCGUUAUAGCGUCCGUCGUGAUGAAAGUGAGCGCAGUCUUCUCCGCCUCCCAAACCAUGAUGCUUCCAGUCAUCCGGCUGACCGGGCAUCCAUUCACUGCACACACACACACACACACACACACACACACACACACACACACACACACACACACACA